UCUCCGUAGGUGAACCUGCGGAGGGAUCAUUACAGAGUUCAUGCCCUAACGGGUAGAUCUCCCACCCUAUGUUAUCAUCACUUUGUUGCUUUGGCGGGCCGUCAGGCCUCGGCUUGGCUACCGGCUCUCGCUGGUAAGCGCCCGCCAGAGAAUCCCAAACCCUGAAUAUCAGUGUCGUCUGAGUACUAUAUAAUAGUUAAAACUUUCAACAACGGAUCUCUUGGUUCUG
rnacentral:misc_RNA from 1 species